CACUGGAGUCUCUGGGCUGUGAGCUACAUACCAAAUGCAAACUGUUUGGAAGGACGGGCUCCUCUCUUCCCACCACCAGCUUACCAUGGUGUUUGCAAGCUCCCAGAAUGCAGCCCAGGCCCUGCAUCACCACUGCAACAUCUCCAAGUGGGACUUGGUUCAAAAUCCUGGCUCACAUACGUUGCCUUGUGUGCUCUCUCAUUUCAUUGCUCAACAUGAAAAGUAGCCCCAAAAGGGAAGCGGGAAUCCUGCAUCUGCAAGGAACGCAGCCUCCAAUUUCCUAAGUGUUUAAAGGUCACUGGGGACACUCCAGAUUUCCAAUUUUCCCUGUGAUCAAGACACAGAAAAUUCAGGGCUGAAACUAAUGGUCUGUGAGGCCGAAAUAAAAACGCUCUCCUUUCUACCACAUACUGAUCAACAUUCUCACUGAUCAUCUGGAAAUGCCUGGGUCAGCAAUCAAGCUCUCAGUGGGUUCAGAGCAACCAGCAGCUGGAUUGACAUUGCUUUCUAAACCAUGCAGAGAUAAGGUUCCCCCUGCCUCUAGCUGACAGGUAAAUUUAAGUGACUGCUUUUUACCAUGUAAAAUGCCUCCUCUCAGUUCAAGGUCAUUUUUCUUCAAUCCACAGUUAGAGGUAUAUGGCACAUUAAGUCCUGUAAUUCCCCUGUCAUGGUGGAGAAGGGGGGGAGCUUUUAAGCCUGU